GACGAACGCUGGCGGCGCGCUUAACACAUGCAAGUCGAGCGAGAACCGGGGCUUCGGCCCCGGGGACAGCGGCGAACGGGUGAGUAACACGUGGGUAACCUGCCCUCGGCACCGGGAUAGCCCGAGGAAACCCGGAUUAAUACCGGAUGGCCCCUCCGGCCCUCGGGGCGGCCGGGAAAGGUAGCUUCGGCCUCCGGCCGAGGAUGGGCCCGCGGCGGAUUAGCUUGUUGGCGGGGUAACGGCCCCCCAAGGCACCGAUCCGUAGCUGGUCUGAGAGGACGAUCAGCCACACUGGGACUGAGACACGGCCCAGACUCCUACGGGAGGCAGCAGUGGGGAAUCUUGCACAAUGGGCGAAAGCCUGAUGCAGCGACGCCGCGUGCGGGAAGACGGCCUUCGGGUUGUAAACCGCUUACAGGAGGGACGAAGCGACUCGGGUGAAUAGCCCAGAGGGUGACGGUACCUCCAGAAGAAGCCCCGGCUAACUACGUGCCAGCAGCCGCGGUAAUAC
rnacentral:rRNA from 1 species